UAAGACAUUACAUGAUUUUUCAAAAAACGGGUACUUAGACAACAUUGUAUCAGGUGAAAAGAAAGAGGUGGUAGUUUUUAUUAGGGCUCAAACCUACAUGAAUAUCACCAUUGUCAGCGAUAAAUUUCAACCAAUUAAACUAUAAGCCCCUAUGAAUAUCUGCACGCAAUUUGCUCACUUUGAGAAGGGAUCAAAAUUCACAUGUAGUUGACAAUAGAACCUUCCCUUUACAGUCGUUGCUAAAGCAAAUAGUGAAAACUUUCUUAUUGAUUUAUGUCACGGUAAAACUAGAACGAGAUAGCUAUGAAAUUUGUCACUAGAUUGCCACAGACUGAGAGUCAACAUGGCGUACUAAUUUCUACUCUCUCUCUAUAUAUAUAUCAAAAGGAACAAAAAUUGUACAAGGGAGAUUGCAGACUGAAUUUUGGUAUUUUUUAAAAAGUUUUACUGUGCUGCCAUGUGUCCCACUUGUUUAUAAAUAGAGAGCACGUGUCCUGCCGUAGCUAUACCUACUAGCAAUGUGUCCCAUUUUUACUUUGCUUCUUUAGUGAAAUGUGUUUGAAUGAUCCCUUAGCCCUGACCUACUGCGUCUGUUCUUUUUCUAAUUUUGUUCUGAUUUCCGCAAGUUCUUUUUGAAGCUCAGAUGGACUCGGUAGUUUAUUCAUUGGUGAUUAAAUUUUCAGAGUUCAACUCCAAAUAGUUGUUUGAGCGGAUUUUUCAGAACAUUCUGAUGUAUUGUGCAACCAUUCGAAAGGCACAUCGUCAUGAUAAAAAAAAAUAUCUCAAAAGGUAUGACGUAGACCUCAAAAUACUAAGGAACAACAGAUUGCUGAUAGAGCUUGCUAAAGCCGUCCCUUGUGGGUUCUUCUCUCUCCCUGAAACAUAUGCAUUGUAAUUUUUGAGUUUCUAGCUUAACCAUUUUAUCAUCGUAUCUAAAUCUCAACAUACAUUUCUAGAAUUGGUAGACACAUUCAUGUUACUUUUUUAAAUGAGCUAUUGUAUAUGUACAAUCAAUAACCAAAAGCUUAUAGCAUAAAAAAAAAAUGUAAAUCUUAGUAAAUUAGUAAUAUAGGCAUAAACAGUACGUUGAUUUUUCACACUUUUGGGGGUGUUAUUUGGAUCUGCUAUAAUAAUCUUUGCUAGCUGGUUCUGAGAUCCUCAGAAGAUUUACGUUACAUGCAUCCAUUUUGGCUCUUUGAUAAAGAACCCUUAACUUGCAAUAAAAUGAAAGAGAUUUAUAAGCAAAACAAUAUUGAGCCAAAAGAGAAUGGUUAUGGAUGAUUUAUAUAGUUAACUCUAAUUUUGUUCCGUAUUGAAGUUUAGUUGGCUCUUUUCAUUUUUGGGAUUUAUUCAUAUAACUUGACUCUAACCGUUAUUUGGGUUUACAACCCAGGAAGCGAGCUUCAUGAUAUGAGGGAUAGAGUAUGCUAUAUUCUUUUCAGUGACACAAAAUUUAAUUAUGGAACUUUAAUAUACUGCUGUAUUUUACAUGAUUGAUCAUUGGGCAGAAAAUUGUAGUUGUUAUAUAAUGGUUUAAAAGUGAUCGGGUAAGAGCUUUUUAACAGGGGAGGGAGUUUCAUGUUCUGUUUUUUAAAGUGCUGUUUGGUAGAUAAAGAAAGUAUACUAAAUUAUGCACCCAAAUUCUAGGAUAAUCUCAGUAAUAUAAAGGAGCCUUCAUUUGAAAUUUAAUAUUUUUUGCCUUUUUAAUUUUUUCAAUGAGGCACUCCAUAAGGAUCAUGUAAGCAGACCCUACAAGCUGACUGAUUUCAUCAGCUACAAGGCUGGGAUGAGAUUGAGAAAGAAUUUUAGCUGUGUAUUCACAUUGUUCAUUUGUAUUAGCACUUAGACAUGGUAAAUAACAAUAACUUUGGUUUCUCGCAUUGCUUUCUCCGGCCUUAGGGUGUGAGACAAUACUAUUAUGUUGUCAUUUGAAUGCAUGGUCGGCUUAAUAGUGAUAUGUGGACCGCUCAUACUAAUUGAGGUAAGAAUGAACUUUAUAAUGAUAUGUGGGCAGCUCAUAUUAAGCAAGGUAAGAAUAAACUUUGCAGUUCCUUGGUAAACUAUAAGAAAUUCUUUCCAGUUUCUUUAUCAAAAAUAACUUUUUCCGUUUACUUUAAUUUUGAUAUCAGUGAUCAUGAUAUCUUAUUAGCUGUUAUUUCAAUGUUUAUAGUAUAUAAUAAAAGGAAUGACCGCUACUUUGGUUGUCAAUGAGUUUGAUUGACCGAUAACUUCCCAAAAGAAAAAAGUGAAAGGUACACGAAUGUAUUAGUUUAUGGGUUAGGCAUGUCCCUAUAAAUUUAAGUUCUAAAAAAAUGAGUGUCUAGGUAAAUGCUUCAUCACAGUGCAAAGCACAUGAAGAACUGCUGCCUCAACUUUGACUUAUUAGGGAGUUUGAAAUUAGUCAUUGAAUUUAUCUGCGUAGAUGUUUAGAACUUCAUAAUGAAUAUGACUCUCGGUCAUUCUUCUAGCCUCUAUUGUGUUUGAUAAGUUUGGUGAGUUUUCUCUUCUUUAUUUCUUUCUUUCUUUUUCCUUGAAAGUUUUGUCCAUCUUUUUGUUUGAUUUUGGAUUUUUUAUUGUUUUGAAUACUUUGUUGCUACAUUUGUACAUGCAUUUCUGGAAUUAUAUCUGAUUUUGAUAUGCAAAAUUGGAAAGAAAUACCUAAAUUCAUGUCAGUGUUUUAAAAGGCAGUUUUGAGACUCGUCUCGGGGCUCGCCCCGGGGCGGGGCACUAGUAAAACGCCCCAGGGCUCACGUGCGAGGCUUAGUUCUUAUGAGGCUUACGCCCUAAGCGCCCGAUUGUACGCCCUAAACAUGCCUAACGCCCAACGCUGGGGGAUUGCCUAACAAUUCUUACACAAUUAUAUGUUAAAUUCCUUAAUUAAAAUCAUUGACCUUCAUAAUUCUUUAACAAAUGAUUGAUACUUAAUAGUUUUUCAUUUACCGAAAUAAGAAGGUUGGGUAUAACUCAAAUAACAAGUCGUAGUAUUGCAUAUUUACUAUUUGAGAACAUCGAAAGGGUGAAUAUUACUUAAUAUUUCUUUUAAAAAUACAUAACCAAAUUGUGAGUUUUCACUUGUCAUUAGUCUUUUGUCCUAUGUAUCAAAAUUAUCAUAUUUUAUCAUUUCUCUAUUUGAAAGUAAUUUUAUUUUUAUUCAUAAAGGAGUUACGUUUCAAUUAUAAUAUUGAUAAAGUUGUUUAUAGGAAGAUAAAAUGAAUAGUAUGAUAGUAAUAUUGUUUUAAGAAAUUAUGAUUUUUUCAUUGUUUGAAAGUUAAAAUGUUGGAGUUGAUUUGCAUUUCAUAACAACCUUUAUUUCAUUGUAUGCUUUAUACUUGUAAGGUUAUAUUAUAUAUAAUUACAAGUUGUAAGUGGUGUAUGAUGGAUUGUUUUUGAUUAACAACCUUUACAAUUUUCUUGUAUUUUUAUGUAAUUUUACCUAUUUAAAAAUAUUUAUUGUAAUUAAAUUAUUUUAUGAAAUAUAAAAAAUUAAAUACUCAUGGGGCUUACGCUCCCGCCUUUUAAAACACUGAUUCAUGUUCUUAUUUGUUUCUGAUUUUGAGAAUCUUAAGAUAGGGAGGGACAUUGUAGAUAUCAUAUGUCCUUUCUUUCUUCUAUCAGUUUGCUUUAAGGGAUAUUACAAUUGCUUUCCGAAAGCAGACUUCGCUUUUGAUUUUGGGUCAUUGAAGGACAUUCGAGGCUAAACAGUAAGUUCCGUCGUCUAGCUUUUGUUCUUCAUGUGUUGUACAUAUUGUUAUAGUUCAGUUCGGGUGUUGUUCAAGCCUUUUAUUAGUUUGCUAUAGUUCAGUCGGGGUGCUGUUUGUUGACACCUAAUUUUUGACCUCCCGUAAUUUAUUUUAAGUACUCGGAGCCCAUGGAUAGUAAAUAAAAUCAGCUGCAUACCCUAAAGGGUCUAGGUAAAUUUUUAUGAAAUUAUUUGGGAUAAUAUCUCAUCUUUUUAAAUUGAUCAAGAAGUCUCCAGGGUAAUUUUAGUUUUGUAGAAAUUAAUUAUAUUCGAAGAAUUUUCUUUUAUUAUUGAAAUUAAUCAAAGGGGCAAGAAAACCCUUUUUGAUAAUCAUUUGUCUCAUUAAUUAAAUCAAGGAAAAAUUAAAUUAAUAGAUGAUUUUAUUCCAUAUUACUGUCCAAGGUAUUUUGAGUAAUUGAAAGAGUUGACCAUUUUUACCUUUUAAAUCCUGAUUCUGUGUGAAUGCGUAGUUGAUUAAUUUUUCUUUUAUUUGGUCAAUUAAUUCAAAGCAGUAUCUGCAAAAUGUUUUUUAUUUUUUUUAUUUAUGAGUCAUGUUUUAAAUUAUUUUAAGUCCUGAUGGACUAAUAAUUAGUUUUUCGUUAUUUAUUUAUUUAUUUACUAGUUUAUUUUUUCCCCCGACCUUUUAUGCACAUAUAUGUAUAUACACCAUGGAUAUACCAAUAUACACGGUGCAUAUACAAUAUAUGUGUAUAUAUAAUAGCAGGCCUGGCGUUUUAAAAAAUAAAGGACCAGGACCCGGUCCGUUAAAGGAUUAAAAGAAGGGGGAGUAUUAUACUCCUCCCAUCCGUUCACAAAAAGACCCUAGGGUUCUGCUUGCAAACGAAAGAGAGGAGAGGUGGCUAAGGUGAAACCCUAGCGCCGCCUCCGGUUCGCACCACCUACCCCGCCGGUUCUCGGUCCUGUCCUAUCGUAUUUGGCUAGUGGCGUGAAGAGAGAAGGCGAAGCCAUUAAUGCUUCGUCCUUCUCUCCACAAAAUCGGGCCAAAUGAACCCUUAAAGGUACAAUCCCUUCAUUUUAUAUUUUUUCCGUCAUCAUUGUUAGUAUAGAAGCUUGUAAGCCGUCGAUUUCGUUGUUACACCUUGAAUCUGGAUCGUGCGUUUGGGUUUGUGGGUAGGACUUGCAUAAAUUUGCAAUUCCCACAUUGGUGGUAGCAGAUCUUAAAGCCAUUCUGGGGUUUCUAUAAAUAGAAACCCCCAUUCAUUUGAGGUUAAAGGGUUGGAAACCACAUAUAGACUGAAAAUUUGCCAUUUUUAGUCUUAAGAAUUCCAAAGUCAAAAAAUUUCGUUUUAAACUUAAGUUUCUUUAAGUUUCCAGUUCUAAAAUUCAUUUUUUUUUUAUUGUUGUUGGCGUCUGUGGUGGCCUGAGUUGGGAGUUGGAGCAUAAAGGCUUCCUAAUCCAUCGCUUGUGCCACGGUUGCACUCACAAAAGGGUUGAUUAACUAAGGAUAGGAAAUGAGAUGAAAUGCUGAAAAACGGACAAAUUGGAGCUAAAUGACGGUCCGUAACUCAUGUUACGGACCGUAACGUGAUCCGUAACUCAUGUUACGGUUCGUACCAUUGAACCGUAACAGGGCCUAAAUUUCCAGAAAGUUUUCAUUGAAACCAUCAGUGUUACGGUGUGGUGUUACGGUCUGUAACAUAUCACCGUAACAUCAGCUAAAUUUUCAGAAAGUUUUCAAUGAAACCAUCAGUGUUACGGUGUAGUGUUACGGUCCGUAACAUAUCACCGUAACAUCAGCCAAAUUUCCAGAGAGUUGCCAAGUAAAGUCACAAGUUACGCCUCAGAAGGACGGACCGUAACACAGGUUACGGUCCGUCGCAUGGUGGCCGUAACAUAAAAGCUGACAAAUGACGAACUGAAGGACGGACCGUAACACAGGUUACGGUCCGUAACAAUGCGGCGUAAGGGCAUUUUUGUGCAGAAACUUGGCGCGAUUUUUGGCUCUAUAAAUACUUAAUGUAGGGUUUUAAUUUAGUAUUCAGAUUUUCUUUUGGAGGCAAAAACCCUAGGUCUUUAAUCUUAGAAGUGGUUGGAGCAUUUAAGGCAACAACUUCACUCUCAUUCCAUCUUGUAUUUUUGCAUUGUAAGUUCAUUAUGUUUACUUGUAAGCUUUCUUUGUUAUCCAAAAUCAUGAGUAGCUAAUUUUAAAGCUAAGGUUGUGGAACCCAUAAUGGAUAUUAUGUGAAUGAGUUUCUGUUAUUGAUAUAUGCAUAAUGGUUGUUUGUAUUCAUUCAGUUUUUAUAAUUUAGCGUUGGGUGAUGAUUGCAAGCAUUAUCCUAAGCUAUUAUAUUAACUGUUCUUGGGAAAGAAAGUUAGUAUUGGUAAGAUUGAAUGACAAUUACUCGAGGCGUUAACCCUCGUUUAAUAGACUAACUUAGGGAUGAGAAUAAGUCUAAAUUGACAUUUUUGGUCAUUCUUCGAUUGCAACUCUUUUACAUUCGGAAGAAUCAUAAAGAGGAAAUACGAUUUAACUGUUGGAAAACAUUAAGAAGUUCUUAAGAGACCAAGUGCAUAUUCAUAGAACAACUAUUAGAAGUAUAUCACAUUAAACCUGAAGCAUAAUAUCUAAUCAAAUUGGGGAACACAACCUUAGUCUCUAUUUCGCAUUAAAUACAAUUUCAGUCAAAAUACUUAAUUACAUUAUUCAACAACUAUUUCAAACUAUCAGGAAUAGGAUUAAAGCCUUUAAAGAAUAGUAUGGCAUACGAUUAGUACUCUUUUCUCUCCAUAUUCCCUGUGGGAUUCGACCCCAACCUUGUUGGGUUACUAUAUUUGACAACGUCCGCUUUACGCCAUUAAUAGGUGUAAUUUGAGCGUAUCAGGUAGUGCUUUAGUUUAUUGUUUUUCUUAUUUAUGUUGUGUUUAACUUAGUAGUUUAGUUAAUGAAGAUUCUGUUGUAACGACCAAACUCUUUCCGGUAAUUUCGCCCUUUUCCCGAGCAUUGAUUAGCUCAUUUUGACCCGAGGAGACCGGUGACACACUUCCCGAGGUGUUUUGACCGAAUUCGGGCACCUUUUGGGAAAUAUAGGCUUAAAGUGAAAGAUGGUUGACCCAAAGUUGACUUUUGGGCAAACGAACCUUUUUAGGAAUUUCGUCGAUUCCGAGAGGUCCGGAUGGUCGUUUAGAACUUGAUGUGUAUUUAGUUCGGUUUCCUAUGCACUUGGAUGCAUUUUGAGACUUGGGUUGGGAAUUUGGAAUUAAGGCAUCAGGGUUGACUCGGUGAACGAGGCCUUCGUUGGAAAUUCCAAGGCUACGGGCUCAUUCGUAGCGCGUUUUUAUGUGUGUCUAGGUGUAUGGUAUAUAAGCAGAUCACCUCGGGAACUAGUCGGAAAAUCGGAUCGAAUUGUGAGACUAGGAGUUUUCUGGUGUCUGGUGCCCACUUUGGCGUGCCCCAGCACCGCGGCAGCGGUACUGCUGGAGCAGUCAAUGACUUUUGGCCAUUACCGUUGAAGCGGUCGAGUGACCGCUAGAGCAGUAUUGCUGGGGCGGUCCCAGUGCCGCUGAAGCGGGUGACGAGCAGUUUUGUAAAGUUAAUGAAGUGUUAAAAAUCCUUAGACUCUCAUUAUAUCCCAUUUCGAUAUUUGAGCUUGAAGAAACUGCUCUUAAGGAUAUUUGGAAGAGAAUCUUGGAGGCAAAUCCUACUUAUUUCUUCACUCUCCCUUUAACUAUAAUCAUGCUAGAUUCACCCUUUUACCCUUAAUAAACCCAUGGUGAUGGGAGUUAAAAGAGGGUUUUGGAAGAACAUUGUCCCUAGGAUUAUUAAUGAUAAAUUGGUGAUGUUUAUGCUAGAUAUUGACUAAUCUAAGCUUAUUAAUCAUAUAUCUUCCACUUUUAGCAUUGAAUUUUGGAAUUGAAGACUUAGGGUAUAUACCCAAUUUUGGGAUUUUGCUUGAAAUCAGAAAUUAGACUAAUUCUUGAGCUAACUCAACAAGUAGUGGUUGGGGUAUGAUUACCUAGUACUUAAUUUGAUAUUUUGCCCUUGUGGACUCGUAUUCCCCAAUUUCUAGGGUUAGAAUUGACCGAAUUGAAAUAGUAGCAAUAUUAGUAUCAUUCUUCAUGAUUUCUAAUAUAGAAUUCGAUUAUGCUUCGACUACUUUGGUUUUGAGGUUCAGCGGAAGGGCAAGGCAAAGGAGUGAGUUGUCGGUGUUGCGGUUCUGCAAUCCAGGUAGGUUAUGGCUUACCUUGGGUGAGACUUCGUAUAGCGAAGCACAUAUUUAGAUUAUAAUGUCGGAGACAGCAUGUAAACCUUCAGGUAUGAAGUCGAGUUAGAUAUUGCCUUAGGUUGGGUCCUGUUGUAUGUUGGGACUAGCCACCCCGUUAUGUGUGCUUUUAUUGUUCCAUUGAGAUAGAAUUGAUAUACCCAUUAUUGGUAUUUAUACUCGGAUAUGUUGUUGGCGUACCAACCGUUGGUACUUGUGAUAUUGAUAUAUUGUUGGCAUACCACUGUUGGUAUUGUGAUAUGAUACAUUAUUGGCGUACCCCAUUGUUGGUGCUUGUGAUUUUGAACUUGAUUGUUGAUGAUUGAUAUACGCAUUGCACACAUUCUUACACAUUCAUGAUGCAUGGCUGAUACACGAUGAUGAUCUGGUAUCGUUGAUUGAGUAAACUGAUAUUUUGAUAAACUCUUUUACUUGAGUGAUUGUGAAAAGGUCGAUGUCCGAAGAUCAAUUCCGAAAUCGUUGAUUGUAUGAAAUAGAUAUUUGAUAAACUCUUUUACUUGAGUGAUUGUGAGAAGGCCGAUGUCCGAGGUUCAAUUCCGAAAUCGUUGAUUGUGUGAAACUGAUAUUUGACAAACUCUUUUACUUGAGUGAUUGUGAGAUGGCCGGUGUUCGAUGAUCUAUUCUAACAUCGUUAUUGCAUGGCCGAUUCCGAUGAUAUCUCAGAAUCGUUGUUAGUGCAUGGACUUCGCGGGUCCCCCAGGGUGGUGCCGGUGAGAACCCCCCGUGGGUAAAGAUCCAGGGUCCUGUCUGUCGGUUGAGCAAAGAUUCGGGACGGGUGGCACUUAGACUUCGCGAGUCAUGCUGGGUUGUGCUACCGAGAUGUCGAUAUUUCCGUCCGAAUUAUAUGUGUACACCUCAUUUGCAUGGCAUUGUAUUGCAUUCAUAUCAUUAUUGUAUUGCAUUGCAUUCAUACCAUUAUUGUACUGCGUUGCAUUAUGACUUGAUUGGGAUGCUUGGUGAUUGGAUUGUGAUGAUUGGAUUGGUUCGGAUAUAUUCAGACUUGACAUAUUUGGGUUUAGAUGCUUUACAUAGGCGAUGACGGAUGCUCGGUUAUGAUUAUAUUGUCUUAUGCUGGUUGGUUUAUUUGCUUAUCUGCUUUAUUAUCUGAAUUGUGUUAACUAUGCUUAGUCGGCCGAUGAUGCCUACCAGUACUAUUGUUUGUACUGACUUGCACUUACUGUAUUCUUUUAU